AUACGGAGGGCACAAGCGUUGUUCGGAAUUAUUGGGCGUAAAGCGCGUGUAGGCGGCUGGGUAAGUCGGGUGUGAAAGUCCGGGGCUCAACCCCGGAAUUGCACUCGAAACUACCUAGCUAGAGUCUCGGAGAGGAGGGCGGAAUUCCCGGUGUAGAGGUGAAAUUCGUAGAUAUCCGGAGGAACACCAGUGGCGAAGGCGGCCCUCUGGACGAUGACUGACGCUCAGACGCGAAAGCGUGGGGAGCAAACAGGAUUAGAAACCCCAGUAGUCC
rnacentral:rRNA from 1 species